UUUGGCGGCCAUAGCGGUUUGGUCCCACGCCUUCCCAUCCCGAACAGGACCGUGAAACGAACCAGCGCCGAUGAUAGUA
rnacentral:rRNA from 1 species